CUAUUACAGGUUUUGAUAUGUCAAAAUGAGGCUGAAAAAUGCUUAAUUGAGAUAUCUAUUAGUUCCCUUCGUAUAAGCCUCAAGACUAGCAGGCCUGAAGAUUGGGAGAAAGUCCCUGAUCCUAAGAAGUAUUUUGUCCAAUUUUUUGGAACAGAAGAGAUCAGAGAACACCAUCCAUUAGUUGAAAAGGCAACUCAUUAGCAAGUCAGUAGUGAAGAAUCUGGAGUUGAUUUUGGCAAUCCAAAGCCAAGAGCUUGAUAUUAGCAGAUAAUGAGUCUGCCAAAGCAUCAAGACAACAGCUUAAAGAAGCUAGAAAAAAAAAGCUCAAGUUUCCUACGCAUAAGCUGGCAUACAGUUACUUUGGUGCUGCAAUUCUUUAUCCUCCUGAACUAGUACAUAGGUGCCACAAUCUUUGUGAAGAAAUUCUAUUCAAUGUGCCACGAUGGGCUUUAGUUAUUUAUUUCGCUAAUAUGAGGUUGUAAUUGUUGAUUGGUUUAGUUAUAAUGGAUAUUUGUAGUUUAACUUUAG